GUGGGGAAUAUUGGACAAUGGGCGCAAGCCUGAUCCAGCAAUGCCGCGUGGGUGAAGAAGGCCUUCGGGUUGUAAAGCCCUUUUGUACGGAAAGAAAUCCUGGUGGUUAAUACCCGCCGGGGAUGACGGUACCGUAAGAAUAAGCACCGGCUAACUUCGUGCCAGCAGCCGCGGUAAUACGAAGGGUGCAAGCGUUAAUCGGAAUUACUGGGCGUAAAGCGUGCGUAGGUGGUUUCUUAAGUCUGUCGUGAAGGCCCUGGGCUAAACCUGGGAAUGAGGAUGGAUACUGGGAGGCUAGAGUGCGGUAGAGGAUGGCGGAAUUCCCGGUGUAGCGGUGAAAUGCGUAGAGAUCGGGAGGAACAUCUGUGGCGAAGGCGGCCAUCUGGACCAGCACUGACACUGAGGCACGAAAGCGUGGGGAGCAAACAGGAUUAGAUACCCGAGUAGUCC
rnacentral:rRNA from 1 species